AUAAAGCCUCUCAGCUAUGGAGAUGAAGAUGUAGAGUGUCUAAGAACAUUUUCAACCAUACAUAAAGAAUGGCAUUAAAGAUGGUGGGAAUGCACCCACUGUUAAGAGCUAGGUGCCAUGGCUUGGCACAUAUUGACAGCUUCUGCCGCUGCUGAUGGGGACGAAAGGUUCUGCACUGCAGCUUCAACACAAGUGGAAGACUGUGGUUUAUAAGCAGAGAGCAGGCAUCAGUGUGUGGUAGGUGUGACUACCUAGGUGAAUUAAUUUUUUCUCCAUGUUUCUCCACAACUUCCUCACUUCUUUACUGCCAUAAAAACCACAUUGCAUCUCUGAUAUUAAAUCAAUACAUGAAUGAUCCUCCAGACUGAACCAUGGUGAAUUAUGACAGCACAGAUACAGGUGGGAGGGCUAAAAAAAAAGAUAGGUGGGGUGUGUUAGAGUCAUAAAUGCAGGUGUCUGAGAUUAUCCUCUGGUCAUAGAGGAAGAGAAGGAAGUCAUCACCUCACAGCCUCUCAGGUGAGCAGAUCAGCUUCUGGUGUUUGGUUCAUAGAACGUCAACUGAGUACAGGUCAUUUUUCUCGACUUUUCUUGAGCAGCACAGCAACCAUCAGACGAGCAUCCAGAGACUUUUUCCUUCGUUUUUGUUGCACUCGCAGAGGAAAAAAAAUGAAUCUUCAUAUAGUGGCUCUUUGCCUUUUUGGCUCAGUAAUUCUUUGUGGAGCACAGAUGUCAAACACAACAAACCCAACAAACACAACAAACCCAACACCACCAACAAACCCAACAGGCAUACCAGAAGCCACAUCAUCACCAACAAACACAACCGGCACACCGGACAACUCCACCACUGCCUCCAACACGACUACGACUAGCAAUGCCACCACCACCAUCAUCACCACACUCAUUCCAGAACCUAGUGCUGCCCCCGAACCGGCUGAAGGCCUGUCAGCAGGUGCUAUAGCAGGCAUCACCAUCGGCACUAUUGGUGGGGUAGCUCUUGUUGGAGGAGGAAUCUUCGGUGCAUUGAAGUACACUGGGAAAAUCUGAGGCCGGCUGUGUCUAAAUGAGUAAACCAGUCCUGAUUUAUAAGCUAGAAAUUCUGCUUUCGUAAGAUCAGUCUUAAUCCUGGUUUUGUAAAGUGGACAGAGAACAUUGUCUGAAAGGCCCAAACCUGAUAAAACAUGAUGAUAUCGGGCCAAGAGGAAGACAUAAAUCUGUCUAAGAAUAAUCCCACAAAAUAAGUCAUUUUAAGUCAAAUAAGUCAAAUUCAUGGUAUAAUUUCUGUUUUCUCAUUGUCAGAUAAUGAACUUUUAAGUUUAUUUAACAUAUUGCAUAAAAGUAGUUUCUUGAAGCAGUCGUACAUUAACUUGUACUUUGUUGGAUUUUGUGUAUUUAGUCAUAUUGUACUUUUCACUACAGUCACACCUCAGUCAGACCUCAUCAGAUUUAUAAAAGUGUGUGUUUUUAUGCCCUUCAUUUAUUUGCUUUCUUGUUUUUUUUAAUAUAAAUGUCUUCUAAUACAAAUUCUGUAUUUUCUUGAAGGGAAAAGCUUCGAAUCACUAUAAUAAAAUGCUUUGUUGUCCUUUUUUUUUAACUGUC
rnacentral:lncRNA from 1 species